UGGACAGAACAUGAGUCCAUGUUUUACGGGUUAUGGACAGAACAUGAGUCCAUGUUUUAUAGGUUAUGGACAGAACAUGAGUCCAUGUUUUAUAGGUUAUGGACAGAACAUGAGUCCAUGUUUUAUAGGUUAUGGACAGAACAUGAGUCCAUGUUUUAUAGGUUAUGGACAGAACAUGAGUCCAUGUUUUACGGGUUAUGGACAGAACAUGAGUCCAUGUUUUAUAGGUUAUGGACAGAACAUGAGUCCAUAUUUUACGGGUUAUGGACAGAACAUGAGUCCAUGUUUUACGGGUUAUGGACAGAACAUGAGUCCAUGUUUUAUGGGUUAUGGACAGAACAUGAGUCCAUGUUUUACGGGUUAUGGACAGAACAUGAGUCCAUGUUUUAUGGGUUAUGGACAGAACAUGAGUCCAUGUUUUAUAGGUUAUGGACAGAACAUGAGUCCAUGUUUUAUGGGUUAUGGACAGA